GGGCGGGGGCUGAGCCCUGUGUUCCACAAGGCCUGCCCGCAGGUCGCACUGCCCGCUACCCAGGAUGGGAUGCAGGAGCCUGGCCGUGGGUCACUGUGGGUGCCCCAGCCAGUCACCUUAGCCCCCUGAGCACCAGAUUCCCCAGCAAAAUGGACAAGCAUAAUCAUCAUCGCUUCCACUUACAGAUCACUCAUUAAGUGCCAGGCACUUUAUCCUCCUCAUCUCUCAUGUUCCUCCCAAAGCUCUACAGAGGAGGGCCUACUGAUAUCCCCGGGGUACAGAGGGGAAACUGAGGCACAGCGAAAGGAAAGUGACCGAGGCCCAAGGUCACACUAGUAGGCUGCUCCAGAAAUGUCUUCAAGCCCCAGGGGCCUGGACCCGGCUAGAGUGGAAGGCCCUGAGGACCAGAGGGACUCUCUCGCCCCAGGCGGAGUUUCACGGAACCACCUCUGCUCCCCACUUCCCGAGAUCAGAGCCUCUCAGCUGCGUGCCCCACUGCCUGGGCCUCUUCGGGAGGGGAAAUAGGGCCCUACCUUUUCCAGACAACGUCUACUGUUUUGUCACCUUCCUCCUUCACGUGUUGAGCUGAGCUCCUACCAUACCGCUCAUGCUGUCCCACUUCAGGGUGCUAAGCCACCCAUUUCCAGCAGGCUCUACUUUAGAUCCAACUUAAAUCUUUCUUCUAACUUUAUCUUCAAAGAGGCUAGUAGGUUCCAAAGAUGAGAUGGGAGCUCCCUGCCUGUCUCCUCUGGGACUGUUAUUCUGGUGGGGGAAUUUGAUGAAUGUCAGCCCUACCAGGUCUGCCCCUAUCGCCCCACCUUUGAACCACUUGGAGUCGUGUUUCACGGUGCGCAGAGUGGGCCGGUCCCCGAGGCUGCGGUAGAUGACAGCGUCGAUGGCUAGGAAGUCGGUAACGGUGGCUGUGAAGAGCAUCCCUUCUGGACGGGGGUGAGUCAGGGGGAGGCAGGUGAGAGAUUAGAUCAUAGAGGCCGGAGGCUGGGUGGGUCAAAACUUGACUUCAAGACUGAGCCCUGAGCCUAAGUGAGCCCUAAGCCCCGGGCUGAGCCCCAACUCCUCAGCUCAUCCCCAACCUCGGCUGAGCCCUGCCCUUGAGAUUCUGCCUGUUUCAUAGCUGGAGAGAUGGUCUCCCAGCCAUCUUCUAAAUGACCUGACUCCACGAGUGGAAAAUGCCAUGUCUUGCUGUGGACUGGGGCCCCAUCAGAUGGUCAGAGUUGGGGGCACUCACCAGAGAAGAGGGCAACAUUGGCGUGUUUGGGGUCGUAUGGGCAGCGGGCCAUGCCACUGAUGUUGUCCCCGAGGGGCUGCAGUGUGUCCAUCUGCGGGGGGACAGGGACUGAGUGACAGAGCUCCUGUCUAUACCUAGCAGCCCCUGGCUCCCCCAGCCACCCCCUCCAAGGGGACUCCUGGCGCCACCUUGGAUGUUGUGUGACUUGGUCAGUCAUUUAACCUCUCUGGGACUCAAUUUACUGAUCUGUAAUAAAUGGGUCUGAAUCGAUCCUAAU